GAUGAACGCUAGCGGCAGGCCUAACACAUGCAAGUCGAGGGAGGAGCUUUCGGGCUUCGACCGGCGUACGGGUGCGUAACGCGUAUACAAUCUGCCUUUCACAUAGGGAUAGCCCGAAGAAAUUUGGAUUAAUACCUAAUGGUAUAUAGAGGUGGCAUCACCUUUAUAUUAAAGCUGAGGCGGUGAAAGAUGGGUAUGCGUUCUAUUAGCUAGUUGGAGAGGUAACGGCUCCCCAAGGCGACGAUAGAUAGGGGUUCUGGGAGGGAUAUCCCCCACACUGGUACUGAGAUACGGACCAGACUCCUACGGGAGGCAGCAGUGAGGAAUAUUGGACAAUGGUCGGAAGACUGAUCCAGCCAUGCCGCGUGCAGGAAGACGGCCUUAUGGGUUGUAAACUGCUUUUGCAGGGGAAGAAUAAGGACUACGCGUAGUUUGAUGACGGUACUCUGCGAAUAAGCAUCGGCUAACUCCG
rnacentral:rRNA from 1 species